rnacentral:lncRNA from 1 species
AUGAAGUGGGGAGGGGGGAAUCGUAGAUGCCCCAGAGCAGCCAUGGAACCCAUGCACCCUCCCUUCCUCCCCCACGCAAGAGCUCCUCCCCAUGGGCCCAUCUUCUGGAUCUCGAGCCCCCAAUGGGGGGAGGGGGGCAUGAGGCCCUCUUUUUUUGGUCUCUCUGGGCUCCUCAGAGGUUGGGAGCCCACGGAUCCCCCCCACAAGGAGAGCAUGGAGAGGUUAAGGCCUCCCCCACCCCCAGGGCCCGUCUUCUGGACCUCGAAGGGACCCUCAUGGGUCUGGGGGGGGAAUGAGAUCCUCUUUUAUACCUCUCUAGAAAUGGGGGGGUUCAUGGGAAGCUUUGGGGGGGCUGUGGAAAAACCCCUCCCCAGCACAUUAGGCUGGCGAAGGCCUCCACAAAGCCCGUCUUCUGGACCUCGAGGAACCCCAGCAGCGUCCUUUUCCUUCUCUCCACCCCCCCCAAAAUCCCCUCCUUUGCAGGGUGGUGAAGGAGGAGAUCACCGAGGACAGUGCCCUCCUGCCCUGCUUCAACGGAAGGGUCGUCUCCUGGCUGGUGUCUUCAGAGGUCCACCCACCCGAGCCGCCACUGCCCCCUUCUCCUGCUCCCAGAGGUCUGGAGCCUUCUCCCCCACCUCCUCUUCCUCCAUUGCCCGUAGAAAGGACCAGCGCAAUCUGCGACUCCCGCCCUCCUUUCUUCCAGUGAGUAGGAAUGGCUGGUGUGUUUGUGUGUCUGUGUUUGGGGGUUUCUACAUGGUAGAGUUAAAAAGGGGGACUAACCCAGCCUAGGACAGGUAUGAAGUUUAGUGGUCGGGGUAUCUUUUGUGGGGGGUGGCUAACAGAAGAAAAGUUUGAGCUAACUUUCUUCAGAAGUAUUUUAGUUUUUGUUGCUUUUAUUUAUUAUUGUUACACUUUUAUCCUGCAUGUAUUGCUUUAUAAGGAACUCAAGGUGUAGCAAUCAUAUUUAAUGCUGUUCCUUUUAUUUUCUCCCCAAAAAAACCCAGCUGG